rnacentral:rRNA from 1 species
CCAGGAGGUUGGCUUAGAAGCAGCCAUCCUUUAAAGAAAGCGUAAUAGCUCACUGGUCAAGCAGCCCUGCGCCGACAAUAUAACGGGGCUUAAACCACGUACCGAAGUUUCGGAUUCAUGUAGCAAUACAUGGAUGGUAGGCGAGCAUUCCGUAGCUGUGAAGCGGUACCGAAAGGGCCGUUGGAGCGAUCGGAAAAGACUCUGUCGGCAUAAGUAGCGAUAACGCGGGUGAGAACCCCGCGCGCCGUAAACCUAAGGUUUCCUGAGUAAAGUUAAUCUGCUCAGGGUUAGUCGGUACCUAAGGCGAGGCCGAAAGGCGUAGUCGAUGGAAAUCCGGUUAAUAUUCCGGAACCACUAACGUGUGCUGUGGGAGGACGCAGUAGGGUAGGCGAGACGGCCGAUGGAUGUGCCGUUGAACUCACCAUAGCCCGCCGCUUUGGCAAAUCCGGGCGGCAUCAGGGUAAAGGUAGGGACGAAAGUAGGGGUAAAACCCGAAAAAAGUCGCUGACCCCAGCUGCCAAGAAAAUUCUCGUUCAGCUAUACACGCGACGUGACCGUACCGCAAACCGACACAGGUAGGUGGGGUGAGAAUCCUAAGGCGCUUGUGAGAACUCUCGUUCAGGAACUCGGCAAACUAGCCCCGUAACUUCGGGAAAAGGGGUGCCAUCCUCCGGGAUGGUCGCAGAGAAAUGUCCCAGGCGACUGUUUACUAAAAACACAGGUCUCCGCAAAGUCGUGAAGACGACGUAUGGGGGCUGACGCCUGCCCAAUGCUGGAAGGUUAAGAGGAGUGGUCAGCCGCAAGGUGAAGCUACGAAUCGAAGCCCCAGUGAAUGGCGGCCGUAACUAUAACGGUCCUAAGGUAGCGAAAUUCCUUGUCGGGUAAGUUCCGACCUGCACGAAUGGCGUAACGAUCUGGGAGCUGUCUUAACGAGAGGCACAGCGAACUUGUAGUACCGGUGAAGAUGCCGGUUUCCCGCAUCUAGACGGAAAGACCCCGUGCACCUUGACUACAACUUGAUAGUGGGUUCGGGCAAACGAUGCGCAGGAUAGGUGGGAGGCUAUGAACCGAGGCUUUCGGGCUUCGGGGAGCCAACGGUGAGAUACCACCCUUCGUUUGUCUGGACUCUAACCUAGAGCCGUAAUCCGGUUCAGGGACACUAUCAGGCGGGUAGUUUGACUGGGGCGGUCGCCUCCCAAAUUGUAACGGAGGCGCUCGAAGGUUGGCUCAGGCUGUUUGGAAAUCAGCCGUAGAGUGUAAACGCAUAAGCCAGCUUGACUGUGAGACAAACAAGUCGAACAGGUACGAAAGUAGGAGUUAGUGAUCCGGCGGUUCUGUAUGGAAGGGCCGUCGCUCAACGGAUAAAAGGUACGCCGGGGAUAACAGGCUGAUCCUGCCCAAGAGUUCACAUCGACGGCAGGGUUUGGCACCUCGAUGUCGGCUCAUCGCAUCCUGGGGCUGAAGAAGGUCCCAAGGGUUUGGCUGUUCGCCAAUUAAAGCGGUACGUGAGCUGGGUUUAGAACGUCGCGAGACAGUUCGGUCCCUAUCUGGUGUGGGCGGAGCAGGUUUGAGGGAAUCUGUCCUUAGUACGAGAGGACCGGGAUGGAUCCACCUCUAGUGUACGAGUUAUGGCGCCAGCCGUAGCGCUCGGUAGCUAAGUGGAGCAUGGAUAAACGCUGAAUGCAUCUAAGCGUGAAGCCAGACCCAAGAUUAGACCUGCCAGUGAGACUCCUUGUAGACCACGAGGUAAUAGGGUGGAUAUGUAAGCGCAGUAAUGCGUUCAGUUGACCACUACUAAUCAGUCCCAUGGCUUGACCAU